rnacentral:piRNA from 1 species
GGAUGUUUAAGAAUCCCAUAAGGUAGCAAC